UGCCAGCAAACAUAGAUGUCUCUCCUCUCGCACGCCAAGAGUUCUUGGGGCAGAAAUAAAUAUUCACUAUAAAAGCUGACGAGGAAGUAGAAAGGCUGUCAGGAGUCAGAGCUGAUGGUGUUGACAGACUAUAAACCACACCAGCAACUACAAGCACAGACAUGAAGACAGACCUGGUCAUCAUCUUGUCUCUGUCUUUUCUUAUUUCUAUGCAGGAUAUUAUUAGUGGUAACCAGUCAUGUCCAAAGCUUGAAUUUGUGCAAGUGCCGGAAAAAAUCGUAGGUUUUGAAGGCAGUCCUGUCAACCUCACCUUUUACUUGGACAGCAGACAGUGUCCUAAUCAGACUAGCUACACCAUCAUCAUCUCCAGGGAUGACAAUGGUCGACAUCCAAACAUCUGUACAUUCCGUAUGUUCAACAAAUGCGAGGUUUCAAGAACCUCAGUUGGGUGUUUCUGUCUCUCCCACUUCGGUCCGAUGCUGCUCACGACCAAUCUGACCAACAAGACUUACAUCUGGAAAUGGGGCGACACUCCUCCAUUUGAGGAGAGAAUAGUCACCUUUAGAACUGACAGUGGCGGCGCUAAAGCGUAUCAAGUGAAAGGCACCGAGUCCAAGAACGACAACUCGAUGGUCCUAGUCAUCAGCACGUAGACUGCUGUGUGUCUGGUGGUCAUCGCAGCUGUCAUCAUAACGGCCAUCGCAUGCCGCAGGAGAGUCAGAAGAGGGUUUGAUGAAACACGCCUCAGACACGGACACCACAAGGCUCGGAUGGUCUCAUACACCACAGACACCCCACUACCAACCAAAACCCUCGGCGACCCGGCAACAGACAUUUAUGAUGAAAUUGGAGCUGUACCAAAGCGAUGUAGAGUCAGCCUCAAGAAUGGAGUGAGCCUGCCCCCCAUCCCUGACUUCAACUUGUACGUUGAGACACCCUGCUCCACUCUGGGCACCGACCAUGAGGAGACCCCAGUCGAGUACCUGAUUCCGCUGGUAGUGUCUGACACACGAACCCAGGAAACUGCUGAGUACCGACUCGUGACCUGUGCUCAGUCACUGACCACGUGUCGCCCGCUCAGCAGCUGCCUGUAGAGCAGCCGCUCUACUACCGCCAUUUUUUUCUGGAAACAAAAUCUAACAUAAUACUCUGCUCUUUUUUUUUUUGCUUGUUUUUUGUUUGUUUGUUUGUUUGUUUUUUUUUUUGUUUAUUUUGUUUUACUUGUUUGUAGAUAUUUUUCUAUUGCUUUUGGUGCCCAGUUCCGGCAGUAGACACUAUGACCGGUCCCGAGUUCCGAGUCAUGAGCUGUACUCAGUCACUGACCACGUGGCGCCCGCUCAGUAGCUCUCUGUAGAGCAGCCGCCAUUUUUUCUGGAAACAAAAUCUAUCGUAAUAUUCUGCUUUUUUUCGUUUUACUUGUUUGUAGAUAUUUUGUUAUUGUUGUUGGCACCCAGUUCCGGCAGUAGACACUAUGGCCGAUCCCGAGUCAUGAGCUGUACUCAGCCACUGACCAACUGGCGACCAAAUAACAGCUUCAUGUAGAGCCGCCUCUCUGCCAUCCUUUGUUUUUCUGGGAACAAAAUCGAACACAAUACUAUGUUUGUUUUUUGUUGUUUAUCAUUUUUUUCUUUCAAGUAUUUGUUUUAAAAAAAAGUUUUUGUUCCUAUUAAUGUGCACUGCAUUUCCAAUACUGGAUCGGUAGAGAAUACGACCGCUACGCCAUCUGUCGGCCAAGCCCGCUGUGGUGAAUGAAAAAGAUGAGGAACGCGAAAUCGAACACUGGAACUGUUUUAUCAAUAGUUCCUAAGGGUGACGAAAGAUAUUUGUAAAGGAUCGUGAUCAGCUUUUGAAAGACCAUUGUAGCGAUGCUGCCUGAUAAAUAGAAAUACUUAUUGUACAGGUGACGUAUGCAAGUCUAUUUAUAGCUUCAUUCAAGCACAGUUCAAGAUACUAUUUCUCUAAAUCUGUCUCCCCUUCGUCUUCUUAUGUUCUUGAGAUACAACUAUGACAGACAUCACCAUGCACAGAAGUGUCUGUACACAAAUACGCCUACUUAACACUGACGAAAGUCCUGACAACCUAAGAUAAGCCAUGUACAAUGCUGACCUUGUGCUGUUGAACCAGGAAGUGUUUAGGUGGAUUGCUGUCUUCCGAGACCAACUUAGCCUCUAGCGACGUUUUCCGCUGUUAGUCUCGGCGAGCCUUAGCAAUGAAUGUGACUAAACCGGAAGCUUUGUACAAACCUGACUUGUUUUAGUAGUUAACUGGAAAAAAAAUCGUCUGCCUCGCAUCAUCCAGCACUUUCCCAUGCUUAAACUGCCUACUGGGACCAAUUAAGUUGAUCAUUGUCAUUGUCGUUGUCAUUGUCGUCAUUAUCGUCAUUGUCAUUGUCAUUGCCAGCAGUCAAGUAAUGCAAGUUCGUGGUUGAUCUCUUUCUAUGUGUCGCGGACCUCAUUGUGACGAAUUCGGAGUCCUUGUCCAUUUUUGAAGGAAAAAUACAUGUCUGGCCGUAAGUGAGAGAUAGAAGUGUGCGUGUGUCUGUGAGAGAGACGCACACGCCAUGGUAGCAUGACACGUGAUGUACGUAGGUUUGUAUCUCAAAACUUUUCACAAAUGGUAUUCGACAUUUGUGCACGGGUUUUUUUUUUUAAUCUCCAAUGAUAACAUAUUUCUCUGCAUUUGCUUUCACUUACAAUUUUGUCGCAAAGCCAUAGCAAAUUAUUUUAUUAAUACACAAAUUUUCCUUAACUCAGACUACACUGAUGCAGAUGAUAGGAAGCGAGAGUAAACCAUUUCCUUGGGAAACAUGGAGAACUCGAGUAAAGGCGUGUUGUUGUCAUAGUUACAAUGCGAUGCAAAGACCCCAUCCCCCUCUCGAGAACACUGCCAGGAUAUCUUUGCCACCUAGGGGUAAAAUGCAACCAUGGGGGUCUAGGUACCACAUUAUAACAUCGUAAACAAGACGUUUGUCCUCGAGUUCCUUAUAUUGCCCUAUUGUAUAUACCUACACUAUGGCCCAAGAAGCUUUGGGUGCCCUGCUACUUUGCUUUGU
rnacentral:misc_RNA from 1 species